AGAAUGAACGCUAGCGAUAUGCUUAACACAUGCAAGUUGAACGUUGUUUUCGAAUCAGAAUGAGAACAAAGUAGCGAACGGGUGCGUAACACGUGGGAAUCUGCCGAACAGUUUGGGCCAAAUCCCCGAAUGAAUAAAAGCUAAAAAGCGCUGUUUGAUGAGCCCACGUAGUAUUAGGUAGUUGGUUAGGUAAAAGACUGACCAAGCCUACGAUGCUUAGCUGGUCUUUUCGGAUGAUCAGCCACACUGGGACUGAGACACGGCCCAGACUCCUACGGGAGGCAGCAGUGAGGAAUUUUCCGCAAUGGGCGAAAGCCUGACGGAGCGACGCCGCGUGUGGGAAGAAGGCCUUCGGGUCGUAACCACUGUCGAAGGGGAGAUAUUGACGGUACCCUUGGAGGAAGCCCCGGCUAACUACGUGCCAGCAGCCGC
rnacentral:rRNA from 1 species